GAUGAACGCUGGCGGCGUGCUUAACACAUGCAAGUCGAACGGAAAGGCUCCUGCUUGCAGGGGUACUCGAGUGGCGAACGGGUGAGUAACACGUGGGUGAUCUGCCCUGCACUUCGGGAUAAGCCUGGGAAACUGGGUCUAAUACCGGAUAGGACCACAUUUUGGAUGGUGUGGUGGAAAGUUUUUCGGUGUGGGAUGAGCUCGCGGCCUAUCAGCUUGUUGGUGGGGUAAUGGCCUACCAAGGCGUCGACGGGUAGCCGGCCUGAGAGGGUGUACGGCCACAUUGGGACUGAGAUACGGCCCAGACUCCUACGGGAGGCAGCAGUGGGGAAUAUUGCACAAUGGGCGCAAGCCUGAUGCAGCGACGUCGCGUGGGGGAUGACGGCCUUCGGGUUGUAAACUCCUUUCGCUAGGGACGAAGCGCAAGUGACGGUACCUGGAGAAGAAGCACCGGCUAACUACGUG
rnacentral:rRNA from 1 species